UACGUAGGGGGCUAGCGUUGUCCGGAAUCAUUGGGCGUAAAGCGCGUGUAGGCGGUCCGGUAAGUCCGCUGUGAAAGUCGAGGGCUCAACCCUCGAAUGCCGGUGGAUACUGUCGGGCUUGAGUACGGGAGAGGCGAGUGGAAUUCCUGGUGUAGCGGUGGAAUGCGCAGAUAUCAGGAGGAACACCGGUGGCGAAGGCGGGUCUCUGGGCAGUGACUGACGCUGAGGAGCGAAAGCGUGGGGAGCGAACAGG
rnacentral:rRNA from 1 species